rnacentral:rRNA from 1 species
UGGGGAAUUUUGGACAAUGGGGGAAACCCUGAUCCAGCCAUCCCGCGUGUGCGAUGAAGGCCUUCGGGUUGUAAAGCACUUUUGGCAGGAAAGAAACGUCAUGGGUUAAUACCCCGUGAAACUGACGGUACCUGCAGAAUAAGCACCGGCUAACUACGUGCCAGCAGCCGCGGUAAUACGUAGGGUGCAAGCGUUAAUCGGAAUUACUGGGCGUAAAGCGUGCGCAGGCGGUUCGGAAAGAAAGAUGUGAAAUCCCAGAGCUCAACUUUGGAACUGCAUUUUUAACUACCGGGCUAGAGUGUGUCAGAGGGCGGUGGAAUUCCGCGUGUAGCAGUGAAAUGCGUAGAUAUGCGGAGGAACACCGAUGGCGAAGGCAGCCUCCUGGGAUAACACUGACGCUCAUGCACGAGAGCGUGGGGAGCAAACAGG